AUGUACGGAACUCGCCAGAGAUGGCUUGGGUGCUCGAAAGAGAACCGUAACACAGGUGCUGCAUGGCUGUCGUCAGCUCGUGUCGUGAGAUGUUGGGUUAAGUCCCGCAACGAGCGCAACCCUUGUCAUUAGUUGCUACAUUUAGUUGGGCACUCUAAUGAGACUGCCGGUGACAAACCGGAGGAAGGUGGGGAUGACGUCAAGUCCUAAUGGCCCUUAUAGGUGGGGCUACACACGUCAUACAAUGGCUGGUACAAAGGGUUGCCAACCCGCGAGGGGGAGCUAAUCCCACAAAGCCAGUCGUAGUCCGGAUCGUAGUCUGCAACUCGACUACGUGAAGUCGGAAUCGCUAGUAAUCGUGGAUCAGAAUGUCACGGUGAAUACGUUCCCGGGUCUUGUACACACCGCCCGUCACACCAUGGGAGCGGGUUCUGCCAGAAGUAGUUAGCCUAACC
rnacentral:rRNA from 1 species